UUGACUAUAAAUGUUUUGUUUUCAUAUUGAAGGAGUAAGCAGAUCAGUUUUGAGUAAGUUGAAUGCUUCCUUGCUGCACGUUUGUGAGCAAGUAAAUUGUUCUUUGUUUCUUCCUGCUUUGUUCAAUAUCUUGUUCUCUUCUUUUGUUGCUGUCAAAACCCCAACAACUUGGCAUGCCAAGUUCUCCCAGUGGAAUUGCAUAAGGCCAGAUUACACCUGUGCAUUGUCAAAUUUUUCCUAGUAAAGGUCGAUGGUAUAAACUGGAAUUCAAGAAGAGAAUAGAAACCAAAGAACAGACUGCGUAAGUUUUUUAUUUUAAGCUACUUGGAGUCAGCAAAAUGAUGAUUUAGAGAAUAGCAAUACCCAGGUUCUAGUUUUAAAAGUUACAAUUUUGUAUGUAUUGCAAAUGUAUGAUAGUCGCAUGACUACCAUAAAAGCUGGUUUAUCAUUACUUUUAUAAGCACUAGCUAUAUGAUUAGCGUGAGCCUUUUCAAUGGCUGUCAGCCGUUGCAUACAAUUGAGCCUCAGUUUUCACACUUCUCUGAGAUGUAAUUACAAAAAGAAAAAAUGACAUGAGCAUCUCAAUUUACAAGGGAGCACUCUUAUAAAAUAUUAAUUGAUAUCCAAGGAAGCUAAUGUAUUUGACUUCUGUUAAAAGAUGGCUUUUUUGCAGGCCAUUCAAGUCGAGCCAUGCAAGUUGCAGCUGAAGAAAAUGCUGUUGUUUUGUUGAUUAUUUGAUGUUUUGUUACUUAGUUACAUUUGAACUAAGUUUGUAAUGUAUUUGUUGUAAUUUGGUGCUGAUGGAUAUGAUAAAUCAGCUUAAUCAAGUGUGCAAGCAAAGUUUUAUAAGUUUCAUGACUUUGAUAGUAGAGUUAGGUGUGUUUAGGUAACUUUUUUUUUUUAAUUUCAGUCAAGCUGAUUACUUGAUAUAUGUAAUGAGAUGUUUUAGCAAUAUUAUUAUGAACCAUUCAUCAAAAUUC
rnacentral:lncRNA from 1 species